GCCCCGCUAGCUCAAUCGGAUAGAGCGUCAGACUUUUACGAACUUCUCCUCUCAAGGGUCCAAUCUUGUAAAUUCAAUCUGAAGGCUGCGAGUUCGACCCUCGCGCGGGGCU
rfam:Stereum hirsutum FP-91666 SS1 unplaced genomic scaffold STEHIscaffold_21, whole genome shotgun sequence.